GAGAGAGAACACUAUCAACUAAUAGAAUCAGGAAAGCUUCCCAUAGCAGGGGGAAUAGGGAAUCACGGAACGUUCUUGAGGAGUUACAGAAAAUCAAUCUAUCAUUGUCAGCAGCAAUACCAAC